AACGCACCUUGCGCCUCGUGGCUUUCCACGGGGCACGCCCGUUCGAGUGUCACGUUAACCCUCGCCAACCUGACAGUAAUAAUGUCCGGGGAAGCGGACCUGGACGCUGCCGGUCGUCAGAUCGGCUCGUCUCGAAAUGCAUUAGCCGAGUGAGACGCGCGCGCGACGUUGAUAAUCGUCCACGCCUCGCGAGCGUCACGCAUCGCUUCCAAUCGCCGUGCGGCAAUUUUCAAAGUUUGACCUCGAAUCGGGUGGGACUACCCGCUGAACUUAA
rnacentral:misc_RNA from 1 species